GGACCAGAGAAUAAUUGGUACAGGUACCACAUUUUGAGAUUCCCCCAAACGUGGCUACUUAAACAAGACAUGAACAAUGACAACAGGAGUUGACGUGUGAAUGGGAAAAUCUCAUGCGACCCCGCUACUAGAUGAAGAGCCACAGUUAAUUAACAACUACUGAGAUAGAGAGAAUUAGUCUUGCCCAGUGCUUAUGUAUUGGUUUCAUCAGCCUUCUUGACUUUUGCAAUGUGAAAGAAAGAAACAAAGAAACCUCACAAAAAUGAGAAAAAAAUCGUUUAAACCUGAUUUCAUUAUGAAACUUUAACCUAAAAGCAUUUGGGUUUGCCACCCAGAAGUUUUUAAUUCCCUAGACUACUUUGUACCUCUCCAGCAGUCCCAGGCUACUAAUAUUCAUGGAUACCCUUGAUAUAAAUUCCAGUUUGCCAAUCUCCUCUGUGGCCAUCUCCACCAUGCAGAAUGCACAGUUCCGGUGAAGAGGUAAUGGGUCCAUUCUGCAGCUACAAAAUCCAAGAUGACAUACUGGCCCCGGGACUUGGACCAUCACCAAUGCCUGCUCCUCCAUCACUCUCAUAGACCAGUCAUCCCCGAAGACACUUUCACUGUAGCUGCAGACAACACUAGGAAUAUGAAAAGCAAACAUCUGCUCGAUUGCCCAGGGAACAUCUGAACAUGACUCCUGAGAGAUCUAAAUAAUCAGUUUACUUAAUAAGGGAGAAAAGAGUCCCAGAAGCAAACAGAUUAGAGAAACAGCAGGCUGUCUAUGCUCACACCACCUGGACUGCCCUAUCAUAUCUAGACUUGGAUAUCAAGGCAGGGUUGGGCCUAGGUCGGGCUGGGGUGCAAGAACAGUUCCUUUGCUGUGAACAUUUUCUUAUGCUCUGUCAAGGUGAAAUUUUUUAAAUUAAUUUUUUUCCCAGGCCAGCCUGAAGUUUGCUCUGUAGCUAAGGCUCACCCUAAACUUCUGUUCUCCCUUCAUCAGUUAGAACUAUAGAUGUACAUACAUAUAUAGAUGUGGAAUCACCAGUACCUAUAACUGUUGAUACCUAAAAAUACGAAACAAGGAGCCGAGGAGAUGGUUUGAUGGAUAGAGUGCUUGCCCCACAAGUAUGAGCACUAGAGUUCCCACCUCCAGUACCCAUGUGAAAGUUGGUGGACACAGCAUCCAGCAGAUAAUCCUACUGCUAGGAGCAGACACUGUGUUCCCAGAACGAGAUGGCUACCUACACUAACUAAACUAGAGACCUCUGAGUUCACAUGAGAGACCCUGGCUAAGUAAAUAAAGUGGAGAGGAAUUGAAAAUACCUGAUGCUGAAGUCUGACCUCCAUAAGCAUAUGCAUACCCACAUGCAUAUGAACAAGUAUACAUAUAUGUACAGUGUACAUACACGCACACAAGCAAAAGGGGGAAAUGAGCCAGGCUCUGUGGUACACAUCUACAAUCCUAGACUCAAGCAACAGAGGCAGGAGGAAUGCUGUGACUUUGAAAACAGUUUGGGCUACACAGAAAGUACUAGACACCCAGGCCUAUAUAGCAUGACGUUAUCUCAAGUAUAUCAGGAGAAAUGAUGCAGUAUGAUGUCCCUACACGGGAAUGUGUGACUGCAUAGGGAGUGGUUUAAAUCACU
rnacentral:lncRNA from 1 species